rnacentral:tRNA from 2 species
CAAAAUAUAGCUUAACCCAAAAAGCAUUCAGCUUACACCUGAAAGAUGUUCAUUAAAACAAGACUAUUUUGA